GUCCUGUCGGAAAAGCUCGUUUACUCUGCUCGGGUCUCCAGUGGUUUAAGGAUAAUGUUUAUCAGAAGUGAACGUGCUCAACUUGUUUCCAUUCAACUGCUGAGUGUGGGCUGAAAUACCAAAGGUCAGAUCUACAGUGAGUCGGUAGAGGGCAGGGGGAGACGAGAGGAAUAUGAAAACAUAAUAUACAACAGCCUGUUGAUCGCUUCUGACCUGCCUGGCAAAAAGAUUAAUUUUUUCAGGAACCAAUUGGGAAUUCCUAGGCAAUUUUCUCCGUUUCUGCCUUUGCUUCUGCAACACCUAGUACCACUGCCACCUACAGGAAUAAUUGCAUUUUCAAGCUAUUUUCAAGUAACCAGAAGCGUUUGAGAGUCCUGGUAGCUCUGUCGUCUUCCUGGACGCGCAGCAGCAAGUCUGACUUCGAAAGGCAUUGUUUUUCUCCGUGGCUUUCGUUUGAGAUCACACACUGAUGCAGGUUCGCUCCUCUGUGGCACGGCAGUGGGAGGGACGGAGCCUUUCCCCAGGGACCCCGGGAGACGCAGCCAGCAAAGCCAGGCAGAUGUGUCAGACAUGGCUGGAGGCAGGUCUAAGCUGCAUUUCACUGGGUUUGAAGUCACAGGCAGAUCAUCUGUGAUGGACUCAGUCCUAGAGGGCAAAGGGAUUUACAGCAAGGAUCUAUUCCACUAUAAAAGGACACCAAGAAGAGCUUUGCUUUGAAAUCCUAAUCUAUGCUGCAAGUUCAAGUUUGCUCAGCUUCCACUGGCUUCAAUGAAUGUCAUCUGUACUCACACAGCUGUAAAAUGUUAUUUAUACCUACAAGUCUAGUGGGGUCAGAGCUCCACAGAAAUGGUGUAAGAGAAGAAGCCAGAGUUGCCUUCCUGUAAGUGGAGGAUUGUCCACAAGACAAGUCAGGUCCAUAGCAACAGAACUUUGAUUUUGCAAAUCACGUUUCAUCUAGAUAGAAACUGUAUUUAUUUUGAAAGAAAUAUUUAUUCUCCUGUUUAAUACCAUCUGACCUUUUAAAAGUGACUUUCAGUUUUAUAUGAUAAAACAAAAUAAUUUUCUUUCUAAUUUCUGUUUUGAAAAGUUUGGCUUGUUUCUGUUGUUUUGGUGUUUUGUUUUGUUUUGUUUUGUUUUAAAUAUGGACACAUAUAAAUUUAUUUAGCAUUUUGUGGAACGUUAUUGAUAAAAGAGACUGCAAGGAAGAAAUUAUUGAUGGAGAGGACUCUGUAUAAGCAGGAUAUCACUGCUUUUCGUAGAUCCUAGAAAUCAUAGCAGUUUUACCAAAAGCCAAGUGAAUUUCCUCAUUGGAACAUGUGAUCAGCUUGGAAAAAGUGUGGUUUUGUGCAAUCUGUUUCCUGCCCAGCUACAACUUUGCCUUUGGCUAGACUAGCACCACAAGUCAUAAUCAAUUAAAGUUCUUAUUUUUCCUUUCAGAACCAAGCAGUCAAGCUUUUUUUGUGAAAGUCUUAAUGGUGAGAAUAUGUGUAAGUGUGAAUGUUUUCCUAUGUCACUCAUAUUAAUGAAGGCUUGCAGGUGUAUUUGUAACACAUUUUCUGAAGUAACUUGCACAAAAUAUUUUUUCUUUUCCUUCUCUUUAUGGAGACAGGCCCCCUCCAACAUCUGCAUGUAAAAUCAAAUUUUCUGGCAAACUUGACAUUCCAUACCACCAAUCAGACCAUGAACUUGUACCAAGUUUAAUCUCUUCUCUGGAAAA
ensembl:lncRNA